AGAAAGAGAAGAAAGUCAAAAAUUUAAGACCAAGUUGCUUCCCUAAAAUCAGUUUGAGAAACAGCAUCAGGCAUCUCACCUCGAGGCAGUGGAUAGCAGAAAAACACUGAGGGCAUGGGAACGUUGCAGUUAAAGAUGCUGAAGCUUUUGUUUUUAUUGACCUUCACUGGGAUAUGCUUGGCUCAAAAUGACAUCAGGUUGUCAGUGUUCACGGUGACAUCAAAGAGCAUGACAGUGCAGUGGAGCGGCCACACUGGUGCCAGCUCCUACAAGAUCACAGCAACCCCCAAGAACUCCCCGGAAAG
ensembl:lncRNA